GAUGAACGCUGGCGGCGUGCCUAAUACAUGCAAGUCGAGCGAACAGACGAGGAGCUUGCUCCUCUGACGUUAGCGGCGGACGGGUGAGUAACACGUGGAUAACCUACCUAUAAGACUGGGAUAACUUCGGGAAACCGGAGCUAAUACCGGAUAAUAUAUUGAACCGCAUGGUUCAAUAGUGAAAGACGGUUUUGCUGUCACUUAUAGAUGGAUCCGCGCCGCAUUAGCUAGUUGGUAAGGUAACGGCUUACCAAGGCAACGAUGCGUAGCCGACCUGAGAGGGUGUUCGGCCACACUGGAACUGAGACACGGCCCAGCUCCUUAGGGGAGGCAGAGGAAGGAAAUCUUCGGCAAGGGGCGAAAGCCUGACGGAGCAACGCGGCGUGAGUGAUGAAGGUCUUCGGAUCGUAAAACUCUGUUAUUAGGGAAGAACAAAUGUGUAAGUAACAAUGCACGUCUGGACGGUACCUAAUCAGAAAGCCACGGCUAACUACGU
rnacentral:rRNA from 1 species